rnacentral:rRNA from 1 species
GACGAACGCUGGCGGCGUGCUUAACACAUGCAAGUCGAGCGGUAAGGCCUUUCGGGGUACACGAGCGGCGAACGGGUGAGUAACACGUGGGUGACCUGCCCUCCACUUCGGGAUAAGCCUGGGAAACUGGGUCUAAUACGGGAUGGGACCAUUCCAUGCAUGUGGGGUGGUGGAAAGUCGGUGCUGUUGUGGUGCUGGCGGUGGGGAGUGGGCCGCGGUCUAUCAGCUUGUUGGUGGGGUGGAGUGGCUUACCAAGGCGACGACGGAUAGCCGGCCUGAGAGGGUGGAUCGGCCACACUGGGAC